rnacentral:precursor_RNA from 1 species
GAGGACCGUAUUCAUGGAAGAGGAUUGAACAGACUACUGAGUUCUUAAGAGAAAAAUGGCACUUAAGAAAUUGAUGGUGAUAUCAAAGGAAGGUUACUUAUUACUCUUGGACUUUGAUGAUGAGGACGAUGACAUAAAAGUUUCAGAGGAGGCUCUUGCGGAAGAGAUGAAGUAGACAGUAUGUUGGAUAAAUCUGGAGUAAAGAACCCAGCAAUUGGUAAAGAUGAGAAUAUAUCGCCUCAAGUAAAAGGAGAUGAAGACAUGGGAGAUGAAAUUGACAGUAUGUUGGCUACAUCUGGAGGCCUUUUCUCCUGAGAACACGGGACUCCAGCAUCUUCGGAUUCUGCUCUUGGAGGUGUGAGUCCCUGCCUCUCUGCACAGGGGAACUUAUGUCUCUCCACAUGUCCGCAAAUGUCUACCCAAGAUUAUACAUCUUCCAAAGGCUUUCAAAUACUUCUUUACAUAAACAAGGGGUUUGCCCCACAUCCUCUAUAUUGCAGAAAACAAGACUAGGCUCUACCUCUGUAGAUCAAGCACGACUGAAAUCCGUGCUCUCAAAAGAUGCUGGGGAGAAAGAGUGCCAUUCUUCACAAAUGCUGCUGCAUCAUUGGACUGAAAGUGAAUGGCCCAUGUGUUGCCACUGAUGUGAGCCAUUUGCCUGUUGUGCUUCA